GUUGCCGACUUGUUUUUUAAGUUACUAGCAUGUGUUCUGUAUAUACUACGUGUGAUAACGGAUACGAAUCCAACAUUUGCAACAUGUUAUGGCUGCUCAGUGAGCAAUAAAACCGAAUUUCUCGUUUCGGCUCAACUAACCGAAGAGGAAUUCCAGGAGAAUCCUAUUAUCAAUUGGGAGGCUAUAUUAUGGGUGAAUCGGCCCACAGUGCUGUGGGCAGCGCAAUUAAUUUUAGCAUUAGUAUCACUAACGGAGGCAGUACUACUAACAUAUCUAGGCUAUAAGGGAAAUAUCUGGCAACAGAUUCUUUCGUUUCAUUUCAUUCUAGAAUUAAUUACGACAAUACCAUUUGCACUAACGGUA